rnacentral:lncRNA from 1 species
AAAAAAAUUAGGUCUUUUUUUGUUCUUUGGACAGAAGAAAAAGGAGAAUCUUUUUUGAUAAAACAGAAUCUUCUUGUGCAGCAAAAAGCGAGUUCUUUCUUUUGCCCGUGAGAGAUUAAAAAUAGUUUUCUCGGGAAAACCAAAGAAACCCUUUUUUUUUGUUUUUUAUGAGAGUGGUUUCUUUUUCACAUGAAAUUCCACAAUUUCUGGAACAUGAGAGAUUCCGUGUUCUUCAAGACUUUGUUCUUUAACCCUUAACAAAGAAAUGGGUUUGUUUCAUUGGCUCCACUAAAAGAUUCGCUAUACCCUUUCCACUUACAAAAAGAUCCGUACUUUACUGUCUCAAUGUCUCGAACUAUGUUCUGUUCUGUUUUGUGUUGUGGUCUUUGAUUCUGAUGUUACUUUGUGAUUGUGACUUUC